rnacentral:misc_RNA from 1 species
UCCGAGUUGACCCCGGCAGUCUCCUGCGAGUCCCCGCCAUUACGCGCUGGCAACACAGGACAAGGGUUGCGCUCGUUGCGGGACUUAACCCAACAUCUCACGACACGAGCUGACGACAACCAUGCACCACCUGUCACUUUGUCCCCCGAAGGGGAAUGCCCUAUCUCUAGGGUGGUCAAAGGAUGUCAAGCCCUGGUAAGGUUCUUCGCGUUGCGUCGAAUUAAACCACAUGCUCCGCUGCUUGUGCGGGUCCCCGUCAAUUCCUUUGAGUUUUAGCCUUGCGGCCGUACUCCCCAGGCGGGGUGCUUAAUGCGUUAGCUUCGGCACGGACGGAGUCGACACCGCCCACACCUAGCACCCAUCGUUUACGGCGUGGACUAC